GACGAACGCUGGCGGCGUGCCUAAUACAUGCAAGUCGAACGCAGUGGGGACGGGUGAGUAACACGUGGGUAACCUCCCAUCAGAGGGGAUAACACUUGGACACAGGUGCUAAACCGAUACUGAUUGAUGGACCCGCGGUGCAUUAGCUAGUUGGUGAGGGAACGGCUCACCAAGGCCACGAUCCGUAACGGGUCGUAGAGGAUGAUCAGCCACACUGGAACUGAGACACGGUCCAGACUCCUACGGUAGGCAGCAGUGGGGAAUAUUGGACAAUGGGCGAAAGCCUGAGCCAGCCAUGCCGCGUGUGUGAAGAAGGUUUUCGGAUUGUAAAGCACUUUAAGGUGGGAAGCGUUACCAACAGAAUAAGCACCGGCUAACUACGUGCCAGCAGCCGCGGUAAUAC
rnacentral:rRNA from 1 species